CCUACCUGCCCAAGCUUGGAGGCUGGCUGCAGACCUGGUCUCCCGCCCCUCCCGCCAUGCUGCCUGCUCCGCACUGGGGAUGGCGAGUCCUGCUUCAUGGGCUUACCAGCGGAGUUAAGAUUAAGAAACUGAGGCUAUCUUGGAGUCCAUGAAGGCACCAGUUGCUGUGGCCCUUGGAGCCUGGUCUGAAACCAAAGUCCCCGAAGAAAGCAAGGGCCUGCUAUGGCAGUGUGAGCUCAGGCGGAGUCCUCGAAUGUGCUGACCACCCUUGGUGCGGACAAGGCCGCCAACUUGCGGAGCCCAGAAGGACCCAGUGUGGCUCCCAAACAGACCAGGAGCUCCUCCUGGGCCCCUCUAGCCGAGGCCAG